UGGGGAAUCUUGCACAAUGGGGGAAACCCUGAUGCAGCGACGCCGCGUGAACGAUGAAGCCCUUCGGGGUGUAAAGUUCUUUCGGCAGGGAAGAUAGUGACGGUACCUGCAGAAGCAGCUGCGGCUAACUACGUGCCAGCAGCCGCGGUAAUACGUAGGCAGCGAGCGUUGUUCGGAGUUACUGGGCGUAAAGGGUGUGUAGGCGGUGCUUUAAGUUUGGUGUGAAAUCUCCCGGCUCAACUGGGAGGGUGCGCCGAAUACUGAAGUGCUAGAGUAUGGGAGAGGGAAGUGGAAUUCCUGGUGUAGCGGUGAAAUGCGUAGAUAUCAGGAGGAACACCUGUGGUGUAGACGGCUUCCUAGACCAUAACUGACGCUGAGACACGAAAGCGUGGGUAGCAAACAGG
rnacentral:rRNA from 1 species